CUCUGUGUUUAGGGUUCACAGAUGCUAUACCUCCCUUUUAGGUAUAGUAACGUCCCCUAGCAUACGUAUCAAGUAUCUGCUACUACUUGUACGUAUGUCUAAGUGAGCCUAAGCUUGGUGGCUCAGUCUUAGCCUAGCUUGGAAGCUCUGUUCAAGCGUGGUGGCUAGGUCAAAAAAAAUAUUUGCCUACAUUUUAUUGGGGAAAAAAGGGAAAUUUUAAAUAUUUUUUAUCCAUUUGGGAAUGGGGGUCAGAGGGGAUAUUUUACCUUUUUUAUGACCAAAUUUUUAAAUUGUACAUAUGACUGUUUUUAUAUAUUUUUCAAUUUUAUCUCAGUUAAUUUUAAGCCCCCCAAGUCAAAUCGGAGACUUAAAAACUGGUACUCCAAAAGGAAAAAGAUAGGUGUCUUACUGUGGGCAUUUGUCUUGGUGAACUAGCACCUUAAAGUCCAGCUAACCCACAGGCCGGCUGGCUAGUACAAGCAGACAGGUAUUUUCAAUACCAUUUGGCAUUUUUAAACUUUGGCAUUUUUUCAUUUGGCUUUUUGCUUUAUAUGUUUUUUAACUAUUUGGAUUUUUAUACCAUUUGGCAUUUUUUAUUUAUGUUUUUUUUUUCAUUUUUUGCAACAUAUUUUUUCAUCAACACACCCAAAACACUUCAAAAUUAAGAGUUAAAUAUACACUUUUGGCAUUCAUAAUGUUUAUCAAUCAAAAUAGCAUUCUAUUUUCAAAUUGACAUUACACAAUUUGGCUUUCUGUAACUUUGGCUGUUAAUCUUUUGUACGAAUGCUAUGAUGACCAUUAUGUGUAGAAAAUAAGACUACAUUUCUAAAAGUGGCUCAGUAUCAUAUAUUUAUGUUUAAUGUCAAUUAGUUCUGAAUUUUCUUCAUAUUUCUAAAAUGUAAGUUCUUCCAUAUCUGGUACAUCUUAUAAUAUUGUAUUCAUUUACUAACCCAAUUUUCUCAUAGGGACUUAACACCAAGCAGAAGGGGUAUAGGUGGUAGGUGGUUAAGGGUGUUAUGAUAGGGUGAAAGGGUGAGAAAGGGAGGGAGAAAAAUAGAAUGAUGGAGAGGGUGAGGGUAUAUGAUUGUGAGUGGAAUGUAGAGAGGGAGAGAAGGUGUGAGAGAAUGUCAUUUCAUAGUAAGGGCAGGAUGUACUGGUCUAAUGGAAGUGCAGUUUUCUGUUUUGUCUCAUGUAGUUUCUAUUUUCUUCAUCAUCUGAUAACUUUAAAUAUGAAAUUGCUGCCAUCUAAAAGUUCACAGGUUAACAGCCUUU